rnacentral:rRNA from 1 species
AUUGAACGCUGGCGGCAGGCCUAACACAUGCAAGUCGAGCGGAUGAAGGGAGCUUGCUCCUGGAUUCAGCGGCGGACGGGUGAGUAAUGCCUAGGAAUCUGCCUGGUAAUGGGGGAUAACGUCCGGAAACGGGCGCUAAUACCGCAUACGUCCUGAGGGAGAAAGUGGGGGAUCUUCGGACCUCACGCUAUCAGAUGAGCCUAGGUCGGAUUAGCUAGUUGGUGGGGUAAAGGCCUACCAAGGCGACGAUCCGUAACUGGUCUGAGAGGACGAUCAGUCACACUGGAACUGAGACACGGUCCAGACUCCUACGGGAGGCAGCAGUGGGGAAUAUUGGACAAUGGGCGAAAGCCUGAUCCAGCCAUGCCGCGUGUGUGAAGAAGGUCUUCGGAUUGUAAAGCACUUUAAGUUGGGAGGAAGGGCAGUAAGUUAAUACCUUGCUGUUUUGACGUUACCAACAGAAUAAGCACCGGCUAACUUCGUG